GCCCAGACUCCUACGGGAGGCAGCAGUGAGGAAUAUUGGUCAAUGGGCGGGAGCCUGAACCAGCCAAGCCGCGUGAAGGAAGAAGGCGCCAGGCGUCGUAAACUUCUUUUGUCGGGGAACAAAGGGCGCCACGCGUGGCGUUGUGAGUGUACCCGAAGAAAAAGCAUCGGCUAACUCCGUGCCAGCAGCCGCGGUAAUACGGAGGAUGCGAGCGUUAUCCGGAUUUAUUGGGUUUAAAGGGUGCGUAGGCUGUGAGGUAAGUCAGCGGUGAAAUGCCCCCGCUCAACGGGGUGAAGUGCCAUUGAUACUGCCUUGCUGGAAUGCGGAUGCCGUGGGAGGAAUGUGUGGUGUAGCGGUGAAAUGCAUAGAUAUCACACAGAACACCGAUUGCGAAGGCAUCUCACGAAGCCGCGAUUGACGCUGAUGCACGAAAGCGUGGGUAUCAAACAGGAUUAGAUACCCCCGUAG
rnacentral:rRNA from 1 species